UACGUAGGGUGCAAGCGUUAUCCGGAAUUAUUGGGCGUAAAGAGCUCGUAGGCGGUUUGUCGCGUCUGCUGUGAAAACUGGGGGCUCAACCCCCAGCCUGCAGUGGGUACGGGCAGACUAGAGUGAUGUAGGGGAGACUGGAAUUCCUGGUGUAGCGGUGAAAUGCGCAGAUAUCAGGAGGAACACCGAUGGCGAAGGCAGGUCUCUGGGCAUUAACUGACGCUGAGGAGCGAAAGCAUGGGGAGCGAACAGG
rnacentral:rRNA from 1 species